rnacentral:rRNA from 1 species
GCGCACCAGGCGCGAAAACUUUACAAUGUGCGAAAGCACGAUAAGGGAACUCUGAGUGCCUCCUAAGGAGGCUGUUCUGAUGUCUAAAAAGCAACAGAAGUAAGGGCUGGGUAAGACCGGUGCCAGCCGCCGCGGUAACACCGGCAGCCCAAGUGGUAGCCACGUUUAUUGGGUCUAAAGCGUUCGUAGCCGGCCAGGUAAGUUCCUUGGUAAAUUUAGCCGCUUAACGGUUAAGCUUUCGGGGAAUACUGCUUGGCUUGGGACUGGGAGAGGUCAGAGGUACUCCGGGGGUAGGGGUGAAAUCUAUUAAUCCCUGGGGGACCACCGGUAGCGAAGGCGUCUGACCAGACCAGGUCCGACGGUGAGGGACGAAGGCUAGGGGCGCGAACCGGAUUAGA